rnacentral:rRNA from 1 species
GAGACAGGGCCAACGAGUUACGUUAAGUAGCAAGGUUAAGCACGUAAGGUGCGGAGCCGUAGCGAAAGCGAGUUUUAACUGAGCGUUCAGUUACUGGACGUAGACCCGAAACCGGGCGACCGACCCAUGAGCAGGAUGAAGCGAAAGUAAAAUUGCGUGGAGGUCCGAACCCACGAGCGUUGAAAAGCUCGGGGAUGACUUGUGGGUAGCGGUGAAAUUCCAAGCGAGCCCGGAGAUAGCUGGUUCUCCCCGAAAUAGCUUUAGGGCUAGCCUCAAGGUGAGAGAUACGGAGGUAGAGCACUGAAUGUCCUAGGGGGUAUUGCACCUACCGAAGACUAUCAAACUCCGAAU